rnacentral:misc_RNA from 1 species
GUGAAUCAUCGAAUCUUUGAACGCAAAUUGCACUCCCUGGUAUUCCGGGGAGUAUUCCUGUUUGAGGCUCGUUAGAAUCAAAAAUCGAGCCGUCGCUCUUUUUUUAAGGGUGAUCACGUCGGAAUUGAGCAGUCUUUCAAAUGUUAAUUCAUGUCAAAGUGGCUUAAAAUUCAUCCAUCCGGUACGAUUAAUUCUUACUUAAGAUCAUUUUUGUUUCAGAACUCGCGAU